CUUUCUCUCUAUCUUAGACUUACUUGGUUUCUUCCCUGCGUUAAGUUUCCUUUUGUUCUCGAUUAAUAGAAUUAUCAAGAGACUUACCUAAUUAAUUCGCGAAUGUCGCGGUGCAAUUGACGUGCUCAACAGACACCAGCGUCGAGGAUGAUGGAUGUUGACAGUGAAAUCGAGUGAGAGAGAUCUUUCUUUCGGAAACGAGGAAUUUGCGAGUCGAGAGGAGACGUAGGUAGCGUCUUGUAGUGAUAGAGAGAGGGGCGACCAGGAAGGAAG